rnacentral:rRNA from 1 species
UACGUAGGGGGCAAGCGUUGUUCGGAAUUACUGGGCGUAAAGGGCGUGUAGGCGGCACGGCAAGUCAGGAGUGAAAGCCCGGGGCUCAACCCCGGAAUGUCUUUUGAAACUGCCGAGCUAGAGUGCGGAAGAGGCAACUGGAAUUCCCAGUGUAGCGGUGAAAUGCGCAGAUAUCAGGAGGAACACCGGUGGCGAAGGCGGGACUCUGGGCCGAUACUGACGCUGAGGAGCGAAAGCGUGGGGAGCAAACAGG